rnacentral:rRNA from 1 species
AGAUUGAACGCUGGCGGCAUGCUUUACACAUGCAAGUCGAACGGUAACAGGCCGCAAGGUGCUGACGAGUGGCGAACGGGUGAGUAAUGUAUCGGAACGUGCCCAGUCGUGGGGGAUAACGCAGCGAAAGCUGCGCUAAUACCGCAUACGAUCUAUGGAUGAAAGCGGGGGACCGUAAGGCCUCGCGCGAUUGGAGCGGCCGAUAUCAGAUUAGGUAGUUGGUGGGGUAAAGGCUCACCAAGCCAACGAUCUGUAGCUGGUCUGAGAGGACGACCAGCCACACUGGGACUGAGACACGGCCCAGACUCCUACGGGAGGCAGCAGUGGGGAAUUUUGGACAAUGGGGGAAACCCUGAUCCAGCCAUCCCGCGUGCGCGAUGAAGGCCUUGGUUGUAAGCACUUUUGGCUAGGAAGAAACGGCGUACCCGUUAAUACGGGCGUCACUUGACGUACCUGCAGAAUAACGCAACCGCUAACCGUACGU